rnacentral:rRNA from 1 species
GGCGGGCUGGAAUCUCUCGGGGUUACAGCCUUGCUGAAUUAUUCACCCUUGUCUUUUGCGUACUUCUUGUUUCCUUGGUGGGUUCGCCCACCACUAGGACAAACAUAAACCUUUUGUAAUUGCAAUCAGCGUCAGUAACAAAUUAAUAAUUACAACUUUCAACAACGGAUCUCUUGGUUCUGGCAUCGAUGAAGAACGCAGCGAAAUGCGAUAAGUAGUGUGAAUUGCAGAAUUCAGUGAAUCAUCGAAUCUUUGAACGCACAUUGCGCCCUUUGGUAUUCCAAAGGGCAUGCCUGUUCGAGCGUCAUUUGUACCCUCAAGCUUUGCUUGGUGUUGGGCGUCUUGUCUCUAGCUUUGCUGGAGACUCGCCUUAAAGUAAUUGGCAGCCGGCCUACUGGUUUCGGAGCGCAGCUCUUUUCGCACUCUCUAUCAGCAAAGGUCUAGUUUCCAUUAAGCCUUUUUUUCACUUCUGACCUCGGAUUAGGUAGGGAUACC